CUACGUGCCAGCAGCCGCGGUAAUACGGAAGGUCCAGGCGUUAUCCGGAUUUAUUGGGUUUAAAGGGAGCGUAGGCCGUGGAUUAAGCGUGUUGUGAAAUGUAGACGCUCAACGUCUGAAUUGCAGCGCGAACUGGUUCACUUGAGUAUGCACAACGUAGGCGGAAUUCGUCGUGUAGCGGUGAAAUGCUUAGAUAUGACGAAGAACUCCGAUUGCGAAGGCAGCUUACGGGAGCACAACUGACGCUGAAGCUCGAAGGUGCGGGUAUCAAACAGGAUUAGAUACCCUGGUAGUCCGCACAGUAAACGAUGGAUGCCCGUUGUUAGUUCACUUAAGAAUUAGCGACCAAGCGAAAGCAUUAAGCAUCCCACCUGGGGAGUACGCCGGCAACGGUGAAACUCAAAGGAAUUGACGGGGGCCCGCACAAGCGGAGGAACAUGUGGUUUAAUUCGAUGAUACGCGAGGAACCUUACCCGGGCU
rnacentral:rRNA from 1 species